ACAUCAUCCGCUCGAAUAUUGUCAUGUGCUGAAGAUGGUACGUACUUUUAUGCGCACGUCACUAAAAGGUUACUAAAUAAAUUGGCUCCUUGGCUUUCAGUGAGCAAGCAUUUACUUACUUAAAGUAACAUUCUCAAUCGCUUAAAGUUCGAAAAUACACAAUGCCAGAUCCAGCUUGCAAGUGCGGUGAUUCUAAAUGCAACUGCCAGACUAAGUGCACUUGUUCCAGUGGCGGAUGCAAAUGCGACAAGUGCCACUGCAAAUGUAAAGAAGGUGGAAGCUGCUCUUGCAGUUCUUGCAGCUGUAAAUGAAGCGAAACUGUGGACUGCUUCUAAAGAAACUGUAAAGUUUCAUAACAAUGCAUUUAAUUUGCAGACCUCAAUAUGGCUGCCUUUUGUCACGUGUAAUUUUAUUUGUAAUUUUUGAAAUAAAAUAUUUUUAAUAUGUUUCAAAGCUA